UAUCCUGGCUCAGAUUGAACGCUGGCGGCAGGCUUAACACAUGCAAGUCGAACGGUAACAGGAGAAAGCUUGCUUUCUUGCUGACGAGUGGCGGACGGGUGAGUAAUGCUUGGGAAUCUGGCUUAUGGAGGGGGAUAACGACGGGAAACUGUCGCUAAUACCGCGUAGAGUCGAGAGACGAAAGUGCGGGACCGCAAGGCCGCAUGCCAUGAGAUGAGCCCAAGUGGGAUUAGGUAGUUGGUGGGGUAAAGGCCUACCAAGCCGACGAUCUCUAGCUGGUCUGAGAGGAUGACCAGCCACACCGGGACUGAGACACGGCCCGGACUCCUACGGGAGGCAGCAGUGGGGAAUAUUGCGCAAUGGGGGCAACCCUGACGCAGCCAUGCCGCGUGAAUGAAGAAGGCCUUCGGGUUGUAAAGUUCUUUCGGUGACGAGGAAGGUUGUUGUGUUAAUAGCACAACAAAUUGACGUUAAUCACAGAAGAAGCACCGGCUAACUCCGUG
rnacentral:rRNA from 1 species